AGAGUUGAUCAUGGCUCAGGAUGAACGCUAGCUACAGGCUUAACACAUGCAAGUCGAGGGGCAGCAUGGUCUUAGCUUGCUAAGGCCGAUGGCGACCGGCGCACGGGUGAGUAACGCGUAUCCAACCUGCCUUACACUCUUGGACAGCCUUCUGAAAGGGAGAUUAAUACAAGAUGUUAUCAUGAGUAAGCAUUUUCACAUGAUUAAAGGUUUACCGGUGUAAGAUGGGGAUGCGUUCCAUUAGAUAGUAGGCGGGGUAACGGCCCACCUAGUCUUCGAUGGAUAGGGGUUCUGAGAGGAAGGUCCCCCACAUUGGAACUGAGACACGGUCCAAACUCCUACGGGAGGCAGCA
rnacentral:rRNA from 1 species